GCGGAUGUAGCUCAAUGGUAGAGCCUCUGCCUUCCAAGCAGAUGGUGCGGGUUCGAUUCCCGUCAUCCGCU
rfam:Micrococcales bacterium 73-15 SCNpilot_expt_1000_bf_scaffold_329, whole genome shotgun sequence.